rnacentral:rRNA from 1 species
GACGAACGCUGGCGGCGUGCCUAAUACAUGCAAGUUGAGCGCUGAAGGUUGGUACUUGUACCAACUGGAUGAGCAGCGCACGGGUGAGUAACGCGUGGGGAAUCUGCCUUUGAGCGGGGGACAACAUUUGGAAACGAAUGCUAAUACCGCAUAAAAACUUUAAACACAAGGUUUAAGUUUGAAAGAUGCAAUUGCAUCACUCAAAGAUGAUCCCGCGUUGUAUUAGCUAGUUGGUGAGGUAAAGGCUCACCAAGGCGAUGAUACAUAGCCGACCUGAGAGGGUGAUCGGCCACAUUGGGACUGAGACACGGCCCAAACUCCUACGGGAGGCAGCAGUAGGGAAUCUUCGGCAAUGGACGAAAGUCUGACCGAGCAACGCCGCGUGAGUGAAGAAGGUUUUCGGAUCGUAAAACUCUGUUGGUAGAGAAGAACGUUGGUGAGAGUGGAACGCUCAUCAAGUGACGGUAACUACACAGAAAGGGACGGCUAACUACGUG